rnacentral:rRNA from 1 species
CUACGGGGUGCUGCAGUGGGGAAUAUUGCACAAUGGGCGCAAGCCUGAUGCAGCCAUGCCGCGUGUAUGAAGAAGGCCUUCGGGUUGUAAAGUACUUUCAGCGGGGAGGAAGGGAGUAAAGUUAAUACCUUUGCUCAUUGACGUUACCCGCAGAAGAAGCACCGGCGAACUCCGUGCCAGCAGCCGCGGUAAUAUGGAGGGUGCAAGCGUUAAUCGGAAUUACUGGGCGUAAAGCGCACGCAGGCGGUUUGUUAAGUCAGAUGUGAAAUCCCCGGGCUCAACCUGGGAACUGCAUCUGAUACUGGCAAGCUUGAGUCUCGUAGAGGGGGGUAGAAUUCCAGGUGUAGCGGUGAAAUGCGUAGAGAUCUGGAGGAAUACCGGUGGCGAAGGCGGCCCCCUGGACGAAGACUGACGCUCAGGUGCGAAAGCGUGGGGAGCAAACAGGAUUAGAUACCCGAGUAGUC